rnacentral:rRNA from 1 species
GACGAACGCUGGCGGCGUGCUUAACACAUGCAAGUCGAACGAUGAACCGGAGCUUGCUCUGGGGAUUAGUGGCGAACGGGUGAGUAACACGUGGGCAACCUGCCCCAGACACCGGGAUAACCAUUCGAAAGGAUGGCUAAUACCGGAUACGACCACUUCGGGCAUCCGAUGGUGGUGGAAAGGAUUCUGGUCUGGGAUGGGCCCGCGGCCUAUCAGCUUGUUGGUGGGGUAAUGGCCUACCAAGGCGACGACGGGUAGCCGGCCUGAGAGGGCGACCGGCCACACUGGGACGGAGACACGGCCCAGACUCCUACGGGAGGCAGCAGUGGGGAAUAUUGCGCAAUGGGCGAAAGCCUGACGCAGCGACGCCGCGUGAGGGACGAAGGUCUUCGGAUUGUAAACCUCUUUCAGCAGGGAUGAAGCGAAAGUGACAGUACCCGCAGAAGAAGCACCGGCUAACUACGUGCCAGCCGCCGCCGUAAUAC